AUGAUGUUGUCUAUGGAGAUUUUGCUCACUGGGCCUCCACUGAUGAAGGUAAUCCGGAAAGAGCAUCUCUUACUACUAAUGAGAGUGCUCCAGAGUGUUCUUGACUCUGGAGCAUCUAAGCAUGUUGCUAGUAAAUCCUGCGUGUUCGAGUCUUACAAUAAGCAUCCUCCCUCUCACACGGGCACCAUACAAACGGCUGAUGGCACAAAACAGCCUGCCAUAGGGGUUGGUACAGCAAAGUGCACUCCGACCAUUUCUCUAUCGUCAAUUUUACAUGUGCCAGCCUUUCCUAUCAAUUUGGUCUCUUUCAGAGCUCUCAUUGAUCAAAUAGACUAUCAUGUGAUCCUUGACAAGUUCGGUUGCUUGAUUCAGGAGCGACAGACGAGCCAGACGGUUGGGACUGGCACAGGCGUAGGGGGCUCUGGUGUACAUGGACCAGGAGGUGCAGCCGGACUUGGUGUGUGCUGCGACCAUGGAGGACAAGGAGAAGCAGGCGAUGAUCCAUCACUGUAG
rnacentral:rRNA from 1 species